CGAUCAGCCUCUUCCAGACCCCCCCAGUAGCUACCUUAUUUUCUGGGGGAUCAAAACCAUUAAUUAUGUGUUAGUUUUGAUAAUUACCUGACAUUAAGUGUCUUACCAUGGUCAGUGUCGGGAUUUGUGAAGCCUUAAUUAUCAUGAGCAUAGUUUUAUAUCAAGCACUAACUCUUGGGUAAGACUUUGAGAAGGUCUUAAUGUACUCAAUCUUUGGCAUAUAAAAACAAGUCUAGCAAUGCCUUAGGAAGAUACCAUGAGCAAGGGGUGAGUUAGGAAACUGAUAUACCUAUCCCUCAAUACUGCAUAAACAAUGGAUCGAGGUCUUGUUCAGUAUAUAUAUAUCAGGCACAAUUGUCCAUCUUUUGAGUUAGUUUAUCAAAGACAUAUCACAAUCUUCUACCAUGAGCAAGGGAUGAGUUAGCAGCUUGAUAUAUAUUCCUUAAUACUGCAAAAAUAAUGGAAAGAGGGCUUGUUCAAUAUAUAUUAUCACUCAUAUAGGUUACAAUUGUCCAUCUUUUGAGUUAGUUUAUCAAAGACAUUACUGUAUCUUGUACCAUGAGCAAGGUCCUUAGGGUGACUUAUAGGAGAUAGUUAUACAUUCCUAUGUGUUUCAUAGAGGAAAGGAAGAGAUCUAGAAUGAUAUAUAUUCUAAGGGUUCUUCAUCUCUUAUAGUUUAUUAGUUCAGCAGUGAAAAUCAGUUUUAUGCUGAGUGCUGAGUAUCAACACGUACCUCAAGUCAGCAUGCAUUUGUGUUAUAAGGUCAAUAAACUCAUGGCCCAUAAUCAGUCAGCAUUUAUGAGUCGGCAUUUAAAGUCAGCAUCUCUCUCUCUCUCUCUCUCUCUCUCUCUCUCUCUCUCUCUCUCUCUCUCUCUCUCUCUCUUCCCAGCACGGCUUAAUAUGAUAUCAGCCCUUAUUGAUGUUGCCGUUAAGUACAACAUUAACCAUCAUGCAUGCAGGGGACGAGAAAGCUGAAAAAAAAAAAAAAAUGACGAGGCGGAAGAAUUAUAUAUGGCGAGCGAUCGAGUCUAUUGGCGGGGGUGUUGCCAUUCUGAGAGAAAAAAACUUGUUAUUUUCUCGUAAGUUUAUAUAUUGGAGAAUUUCAUCCAUCCCUGUGUCUCGGUAUGCUAGGUCAGGUCAAGUCAUGCAAUAAACAUGUUCUGUACGAGUGUGAUGACUCCGGAAACGAUAUAUCAGUAGUGUACGCGCUGAGGUGACCGAUCAGCUGAUUGGGUAAGCGGAGAUUUAAACAUUACGUCAUAGCUACCGGAGCUGUGUGGAUUUAAAUUUACAUAGAUUUACAUAGAAAAUCAGACCACACAGACCCCAUGGUCCAGACAUAGGUAGUCUGUCCUUAAACCUAAGUGAUUCUACGUUAAUCCGAUGGCUCCAGAACGUUGCAUUUCUAUAUAGUUAAUAUUGAGUUGAGGGAAAUACACGGCCGAGCUUGUUUUUCAAGGAGUCAGUCGUGUAACACUGGACCACUGAAGGAAGGCAGGAAGCUUAUUUAGGGUGACCAGACGUUCCCGUUUUCAGUGACCUGUCCCCGGUUUUCACUGUGACUCAAAGAUAAAAAAGAACACGAAAAUGUUGAGCAAACUCUACGUAUAUAUAGUUGUGGACCUCGGCGCAGUGUAUAUAGCUAAGGAACUCCCUUCUCCUUUAUUUUUUUACUUGCAACAAUAAACUAUCAAUCAAUCAACCAAAUAGGGUGAGAGACUUUUGAAUGCUGCUCCAUGAAUGGUACUAAGCCCGGCAGUGUCCCCGUUUUGGUUUUUCAGUGACAAAAACGCUACAUUUGGAAGUUUUUAAGCCUCGGAUCCACCGAAAAUGUCCCCGGAUUUUGUCUCAGAAAGGUCACCUUAAUUAAGCUUAGUCCAUCCUCGCACUACAACGUUGAUGAAGAAAAAAUUGGUCCAGUCUACUACUACUACUACUACUACUACUACGAGAAAGAAAUAGACAAGAGAGAGAGAGAGAAAGAGAGGAGGAGAAAAUUAUUAAUAUUUUGACCUUCCCCGCUCUGUCUCGCUUCUCAUAUCCUUCUGCACACUUUUGUACACUUUUCCACACUUACCCACGUCACCCUGCACACUUAAACACGUUAUUAUGCCCCGAGUUCAAGUGUUCUGAAGACUUUACUGAUGCAAACUUUCCCUUCGGGUAUCGUUUUCUUCUUUCGUUAAUACUUAAUAGCAUACCCUGAUCUUAUUCGUCUCCCCUUAUCCGUUAUUUUGAGCGUGUUUUUACCAGUGAACUUGCUCUAUUUAUCCGUCGUCAAGUUCUAAGGUUGUCGUGUAUUAAAGUUCCAACACUAUGAUGACGUCACGGCCUCCAUUUUCCCUGUCGUCUGUGAAGGCUGCCGAGACAGCGCUGUAUUUUUCUUGUUUUUUUAGGUUAUUAUAAAGUGCCCGGAAGCGCCAUGCUGUGGGAAGACAUAAGAAGAAGAGGAGGAAGAACAAGAGGAGGAGGAGGAGGAGGAUGAAGGGGACACACAGGAAUCAAAUGAUACUGCCAGAAGAAGAGGAGGAGGAAGAGGAUACAGAGGAAUCAGUUGACACUACCAAACGAAGAAGAGGAGGAGGAGGACUGGGAAGAAGACGAGGAACACAGGAGGAGCCCAUUGGUGAGUGUUGAUUUAUUUUUUCUAAAAUGGUUAACGAGCAGUCAAGGAAUUUUUAUAAUAAGGAGGGAAAGUGUGAUGUUUUUUUGUAGUUUUGUCAAGUUGUUGAGGGGGAGAAGGCCCCCAUUAGAUAGCUUACACUAUAGCUGGUCUGUUUCGUUAGGGGGGUCCAUGGGCGCAAAGGGGGGAUUAUAUACAUCCAUUUAGACUUUGUGGAUCAUUUUUAGUGGAGGUAAUUCUCUCUCUCUCUCUCUCUCUCUCUCUCUCUCUCUCUCUCUCUCUCUCUCCAUUAUCUAUCUUGGCCGCUUCCAUUAAAAUCUUUCUUAUAUUUUCUCACUCUCAGCAACAGCUUUCUCCCUCUCUGUUCCGUCCUUCUUGGCUCGGGGGCCUCUUAAACAAGGCGUCACAGUGCAGGGAGGCGUUAACAUGAGCCCAGUCAGAGUGGGAUGGACGCAGGAGAGGUUUGAAUUUAAUCUGGGUUUUGAUGACACAAUAUUAACUAUAUCCUGGGAUUGGUAUAAUAAGACACUUUUGCUUCUCACGUCAACUAUGUUCUGUAUUUCUGAAGGUCAAAGAGGAGGCAAUCGGGUUCUAAUGAGUGUUUCUUCAUGUUUUGUAUUGUAACAUGAACCAUUCUCAGGCAGUUUAAAUGCUGGGGCUGACCUCAUCCUUAUUUAAUUGAGUCAAUGAUAACUCUAGGUGGUGGUAUAGAAGCAUAAUUACCGGUAAAAUUAUACAGAAUUAUAAUAUCUGCCAAAAUUAAUACGUAAAGCACAUACUGCACCAUAGCUAUACGAUAUAUGAGGAUGAUAGGUAUCUAUUUAGUAAUGCUGUGAUUACACUGUUAAAAAUCUGCUGCAAGGCUUUGAGGCCUGUCACUAGUGGAGCCUGUGACCACAUGUUGUCUGCAGACCCAUUCAUACGUUAGAGACAGACACACCAGUCGGCUGUGCUAUUUGACGAUGACUGAGGCCUUCACCGUCAAGGAUAAUGAUGACUUUGUGGCGGUCUUGUGGGGUCUGCAUUGCCACCAACUUGGGCAUGUCUUUGGCCAGUAUAGUAAGACAGUUUUGCUUCUUACAUCAGCUAUUUCUAAGGGCUAA